CCAGGGAAUGCCAAACAUACGGCGAGUGAGCGGCAACAGCUCAAAUUUGAAAGCUAGCCUUCGGGUUCGCAUUGUAAUUUGUAGAGGAUGAUUUGGGGAAGCCGCCUGUCUAAGUUCCUUGGAACAGGACGUCAUAGAGGGUGAGAAUCCCGUAUGUGACAGGAAAUGGCACCCUAUGUAAAUCUCCUUCGACGAGUCGAGUUGUUUGGGAAUGCAGCUCUAAAUGGGAGGUAAAUUUCUUCUAAAGCUAAAUAUUGGCGAGAGACCGAUAGCGCACAAGUAGAGUGAUCGAAAGAUGAAAAGCACUUUGGAAAGAGAGUUAAAAAGCACGUGAAAUUGUUGAAAGGGAAGCGCUUGCAAUCAGACUUGUUUAAACUGUUCGGCCGGUCUUCUGACCGGUUUACUCAGUUUGGACAGGCCAGCAUCAGUUUCGGCGGCCGGAUAAAGGCUCUGGGAAUGUGGCCUCCACUUCGGUGGAGGUGUUAUAGCCCAGGGUGUAAUACGGCCAGCCGGGACUGAGGUCCGCGCUUCGGCUAGGAUGCUGGCGUAAUGGUUGUAAGCGACCCGUCUUGAACCACGGACCAAAAAGGCAUAU
rnacentral:rRNA from 1 species